rnacentral:rRNA from 1 species
GAUGAACGCUGGCGGCGUGCCUAAUACAUGCAAGUCGAGCGAACAGACGAGGAGCUUGCUCCUCUGACGUUAGCGGCGGACGGGUGAGUAACACGUGGAUAACCUACCUAUAAGACUGGGAUAACUUCGGGAAACCGGAGCUAAUACCGGAUAAUAUAUUGAACCGCAUGGUUCAAUAGUGAAAGACGGUUUUGCUGUCACUUAUAGAUGGAUCCGCGUCGCAUUAGCUAGUUGGUAAGGUAACGGCUUACCAAGGCAACGAUGCGUAGCCGACCUGAGAGGGUGAUCGGCCACACUGGAACUGAGACACGGUCCAGACUCCUACGGGAGGCAGCAGUAGGGAAUCUUCCGCAAUGGGCGAAAGCUUGACGCAGCAACGCCGCGUGAGUGAUGAAGGUCUUCGGAUCGUAAAACACUGUUAUUAGGGAAGAACAAAUGUGUAAGUAACUAUGCACGUCUUGACGGUACCUAAUCAGAAAGCCACGGCUAACUACGUG